rnacentral:misc_RNA from 1 species
GAUGAAGAACGUAGCGAAAUGCGAUAAGUAGUGUGAAUUGCAGAAUUCAGUGAAUCAUCGAAUCUUUGAACGCACAUUGCGCCCUUUGGUAUUCCUUAGGGCAUGCCUGUUCGAGCGUCAUUUAAACCUUCAAGCUAAGCUUGGUGUUGGGUGACUGUCCGCUUCACGGCGGACUCGCCUCAAAAUUAUUGGCGGCCGGUUCAUUGGCUUCGAGCGCAGCAGAAACGCGAACUCGGGCCCGUCGUAUUGGCUCCCAGAAGCUAUCUUCACAAUUUUGACCUCGGAUCAGGUAGGGAUACCCGCUGAACUUAAGCAUAUCAAUAAGCGGAGGA